AUGUGCUCACGUCGUCCCGCCUGCAUUCUCAUCUACAUCCUCCCCUCGCUCGCCCUCUCUCUCUCUCACACACACACACAAAUCUUUGCCAUGACACCGUCGGUCUGCCCACGCGCCGACGAGGAGUUGUCGCCCCCCAAGGACGCUCACUUGAAUAGCAGCGACGAGGACCCCUACGCGUCACUUGAUGAGGUUGCGCCGGACCCCCCAACUUUGGAUUUGUUUUGGGGCCAGUACAAUCUUUGUCUGUGGAAGUCGCUGCCGUCGGUUGAGAAAGCCAGGCAAGUGGCGUUCAAGAAGGAGAUGGCGGAGGAGGAAGCCAGGUACCAGGCGGCCUGUGAAGCCCAUGAUGCCGCCUGGAAAAAGGAGGCAGUAGAGCUUUGGGGGCGGGCGCAUCAUCGUGCCGAGGAGGUGUACGAAGACGGGUACUUCACGAGGAAGGUCAUAGGCGCUGGGCGCCUCGUUGCUGCGUGGAGGCGGGCUGAUAAGCUCCGGCGUGCCACCGAUGAGGAGUUCUGGUGGGCGCCCAACGGAAUGGCAAGAUCGUUCGCGCGCGUCCGCCAGCAAGAGGCAGACCGGUACGUCAAGCACUGCGAGUCGGAGAAGCCGGAGUACUACCUCCGCACUGGGAAGACGCCACGCACCAGGGAGCUGCUGGCGAGGGGCUGCCGGAAUACUAGCCCCAGGAGGGAUUAUUAG
rnacentral:rRNA from 1 species